CGCCUCGCGAUGGGUGCCACCUCCGCCGUCGUCGAUCCGGCCGUCUCGGCUCUGCGCCAGGUCCACCCCAAAGAAACCCCUCCCGUAUCCACUUCCCCCGCUCCUAUGCGGCAGCCUCUCGGUGUAUCAGCGGGCGAUGGAGCUUCCUCUUCCCCGCCCUAUUCACCCCGUUCCGGCGUUCGUGACCUCUUCACACGGAAUCGCAGGCGAGACUGGUGACGACCUUGAACCUGGUACGUGUGCUACGCCAUCCCUUCGGAAUGUCACAUUCAGUUACAUUCUAGCACAUUCAGAGAUUGAAUGAAGCUCCAAAACAAUGGAAAUCAUACACCAUUCAUACCAAACUACAGGUGCGAUAACAUUGCCCAGCAGUCUGUAGGUUGGCUUCCUUGCCUCUGUUCAAUUUCGGGUUUGUGCGUGUGUUUGGGCACAUUAUGAUUGGUACAAGCCCUCUUUUCAGUUACUUCACCACUUUCUUUAGGUUCAAAUUCUGUUAUUAUAUAACAUUCUUUAGAACUGAGUAGGAUUCAGGAUCGUUGUUAUUUCAUAUUGACUUUCUGAUGUGUCUUCUCUUUCCCUGAAGGUGGAGUUCUUGUUCUUCCUCUGAUGGUUUACUCUUAACUGCUUAUGGAGAUGCAUAUAAGUUACAAACAACCCAGACAGUGAACAAUAUGUGUGUUGAGUUCAUAUUUAGUUAUAUAGUGAGAUUUUACCCAUUUUUCCAAGUGUUAUUUGCCGAUAGAAAAUUAAUCAGUGCUUUCAUGGCUACUCCUGCAGUCCUAGCUCAUGAGAAAAGCCAUAUUCGUUCUCACACAAUGAUACAAUGCAAUCCCAGCCACAGUUGGAGGAUUAGACCCAAAAGUACCCAUUGUCAUGCUUUCAUGUACGUAGAUUCAACUUCAUUGUGGAUAUGUGUUUCUAUUUUUUCCGGUUUAUGGUAGCUAAUGUGUGAGGCUCUGUGAACAAUCCAUCCAUUUGGAGUGUAUUAGACGAACAACCCAAUAAUGGCUGGAGUAUGUAACGCCCUAACCAAGGUGCUAUCUCACGAUUUCUUUUCUUUCUCUUGGUACUACAAAUCUGGUUGUGAUGAAGCUUCCUAAGAAUUAUAUAUUCCGCUUUCCGCACCGAGGGAUCUAAGAACAAGUGACUAAUUUCUUUAUGUGUGUUAUUAUGUUUGGACGAUAAUGAUACCUUGUUGAUCAUAGAUUGUUCAUUCUUAUCCAGCAGUAUACUCUACCAUUUGUAUACCCUUUUGAAAAAAAAAUAGAU
rnacentral:lncRNA from 1 species